UACGUAGGGGGCUAGCGUUGCUCGGAAUUACUGGGCGUAAAGGGCGCGUAGGCGGAUAGUUUAGUCAGAGGUGAAAGCCCAGGGCUCAACCUUGGAACUGCCUUUGAUACUGGCUAUCUUGAGUUCGGGAGAGGUGAGUGGAAUGCCGAGUGUAGAGGUGAAAUUCGUAGAUAUUGGGAAGAACACCGAAUGGCGAAGGCAGCCAUCUGGACCGACACUGACGCUGAGGCGCGAAAGCGUGGGGAGCAAACAGGG
rnacentral:rRNA from 1 species